UCAAGGAAAAGAAAGGACGCGUGGGGGAAUCAAACGAAUCUCGAGGAUCCGUGACAGACAAGCUAUAGCCGAAAGCAUGCCAUAAAUCCAGGAAAAGAAAGGAAUAUUUCACUACUAGAAUAAUGCUAAUAGACAUCAUGUCAUAGACAUCGGUUAGGAUUUGAGGCGAUGUAAAAAAAAUUUCUAACAUCGGUUCUUAAAAAUCCGAUUUCUAUCUGUACACUAACAUCGUUUCUAAUAGUUAACCGAUGUCUACAUUUUUUUUUCAAAAUUUUGAAAAACGCGGAAAAUUACUAAGUUACAAAAUUUUCAAGGCGGGGGAACAAAAUUUCAAAACACUUAGUCAUAUUGACUGCCUCGACAUUUUUUCAUUCUCAAACCCUACUCACAACGACACAGCACCCGACCUCCUCUUCCUCAUCCUCCGCCUCCAACCAGCACCCAACUACUCUCCUCCUCGGCCUCCGUCUCCACUCUCCUCCUUCUCUGCCUCCGUCUCCGUUCUCCUCCUUCUCCUCCUCCGACACACCUCUUCUCUCAUCUCUUUUCUCAAAUCCACCAAUGAUGCAGUCCAUGCCGGAGCUCCGCCUUGUUCCCUCGUCGAGCCCACCAUGGAAGAUAAGACCUAACAUUCAAGAUAAGGCUCGCCGUCGAUUCAGUGUAGCUUCCACAAUGGCAAACCAAGUACACCAAUAUCAGAAUCAGCUUUCUGCAGAAUCUGCAUAAUAGAACACUGAAUUUGCAGGUCUAUAUAUAGUUUUCUACUCUGGAGAAGGAUGAAGGAGUUGGGGUUGAGAGGAAUUACACCGAGGCUCUGGAGUGGCUUACAUUAGCAAAUUUGUGGCCCCAUUGAGAGCCUUAACUAUGAGCAGAAGCAAUCGAUUCAACAAGUCGGGGCGCUUUUCUUGUUGAUUAUUGCAGCUGUUCUUUUAAGUUUCGGCGAAGGGUCGAGCAAAAGGUCCAGUGGUGGCAAUCCUGACCAGAUAUUGUUUCAUGGGAUUAUUCCUGUGUUGGUUGCUUCUGUGCUUUCGGGUUUGGCAUCCUCUCUGUGUCAAUGGGCUUCCCAGGUUAAGAAGCACUCGUCGUACUUGAUGACUGUAGAGAUGUCUAUUGUUGGAAGUUUGUGCGUGUUGGUGAGUACUGCUAAGUCUCCCGAUGGAGAAGCUAUCAGAAAACAUGGACUUUUCUAUGGAUGGACUCUACUGA